rnacentral:lncRNA from 1 species
GUGUCCUUUAAGUUCUUGGACAGCAGGCACAGUCACCAUGGACAAGCUACCACAUAGACUUCAUACUCUGCGUUCCAGUCCAGGGACUUGAGCAUGACGUGGUCACUGCCGGAUGGGAGCCUGAUUUCCGGUUUCCACUCAGAGGCGAGCUUCUGGGAGCAGUCGGCAGGAAGGACAGAAGACACCAGGGAAGAAACAUAAUGGCUUAAUUAUGUAAAACAGCGACUUCAAAUAUUUUCCUACCAUCAUUCCUCAGCAUGUAAAAAGGGCUUGCAAGUGGGAAACAUCUAGAGAACCCAGGAGCAGCAUGGGGGUCGAGGGGCAGAGCGCUCUCUCUCACACUCCCAUCCAUUCCCUAAGCUAUGCGGAUUCAGCACAGGUGCUGACUGGCUGCAUGGAGAUGCAACCACCACUGCUAUUCCAGGGUGCUGAAGGCAUAGGUGUAAGCCCAGCGAGCAGAGGCCCGGUCCACAGUUGCUCACAUGCAACACAGUGUCUUUUUCUCAACUCUGCCUAGGGCAAGUACUGCCCAAAACACUUGUCCCGCUGUUCUAUAUUUCAAGCCGUGCAUCAGUUUGGUGACUAACUGAUGUCACACAGGAUAGGAAAUCUUUUCCUAUAAAGCAUCAUCAUGCUGUUGCUAUGGAGUCGUUAUAGGAGGCUGUCAUUUAAAAUGUCAGUAUUGGACAUCUACACAUGCCUGCAAAUCUACUGACGGGAAUCGAUUCCAUGAAAUUUUAUUUUAAACUUGGCGAUGACUGGAUUCACAGUAAACACUCAAAUGGAUAAUGCCGAUUGACACUAA